rnacentral:rRNA from 1 species
GGAUGAACGCUGGCGGCGUGCCUAAUACAUGCAAGUCGAACGAGUUCUGAUUAUUGAAAGGUGCUUGCAUCUUGAUUUAAUUUUGAACGAGUGGCGGACGGGUGAGUAACACGUGGGUAACCUGCCCUUAAGUGGGGGAUAACAUUUGGAAACAGAUGCUAAUACCGCAUAAAUCCAAAAACCGCAUGGUUCUUGGCUGAAAGAUGGCGUAAGCUAUCGCUUUUGGAUGGACCCGCGGCGUAUUAGCUAGUUGGUGAGGUAACGGCUCACCAAGGCAAUGAUACGUAGCCGAACUGAGAGGUUGAUCGGCCACAUUGGGACUGAGACACGGCCCAAACUCCUACGGGAGGCAGCAGUAGGGAAUCUUCCACAAUGGACGCAAGUCUGAUGGAGCAACGCCGCGUGAGUGAAGAAGGCUUUCGGGUCGUAAAACUCUGUUGUUGGAGAAGAAUGGUCGGCAGAGUAACUGUUGUCGGCGUGACGGUAUCCAACCAGAAAGCCACGGCUAACUACGUGCCAGCAGCCGCGGUAAUACGUAGGUGGCAAGCGUUAUCCGGAUUUAUUGGGCGUAAAGCGAGCGCAGGCGGUUUUUUAAGUCCGAUGUGAAAGCCCUCGGCUUAACCGAGGAAGUGCAUCGGAAACUGGGAAACUUGAGUGCAGAAGAGGACAGUGGAACUCCAUGUGUAGCGGUGAAAUGCGUAGAUAUAUGGAAGAACACCAGUGGCGAAGGCGGCUGUCUGGUCUGUAACUGACGCUGAGGCUCGAAAGCAUGGGUAGCGAACAGGAUUAGAUACCCUGGUAGUCCAUGCCGUAAACGAUGAAUGCUAGGUGUUGGAGGGUUUCCGCCCUUCAGUGCCGCAGCUAACGCAUUAAGCAUUCCGCCUGGGGAGUACGACCGCAAGGUUGAAACUCAAAGGAAUUGACGGGGGCCCGCACAAGCGGUGGAGCAUGUGGUUUAAUUCGAAGCAACGCGAAGAACCUUACCAGGUCUUGACAUCUUUUGAUCACCUGAGAGAUCAGGUUUCCCCUUCGGGGGCAAAAUGACAGGUGGUGCAUGGUUGUCGUCAGCUCGUGUCGUGAGAUGUUGGGUUAAGUCCCGCAACGAGCGCAACCCUUAUGACUAGUUGCCAGCAUUUAGUUGGGCACUCUAGUAAGACUGCCGGUGACAAACCGGAGGAAGGUGGGGAUGACGUCAAAUCAUCAUGCCCCUUAUGACCUGGGCUACACACGUGCUACAAUGGAUGGUACAACGAGUUGCGAGACCGCGAGGUCAAGCUAAUCUCUUAAAGCCAUUCUCAGUUCGGACUGUAGGCUGCAACUCGCCUACACGAAGUCGGAAUCGCUAGUAAUCGCGGAUCAGCACGCCGCGGUGAAUACGUUCCCGGGCCUUGUACACACCGCCCGUCACACCAUGAGAGUUUGUAACACCCGAAGCCGGUGGCGUAACCCUUUUAGGGAGCGAGCCGUCUAAGGUGGGACAAAUGA